UGACCCCUGCACGGGAGCCUCGACCAGAGGCUGAGAGGGCGAUCUGCCGACCGUCGAACCUGAUCCGGGUCAUGCCGGCGAUAGGGAGCAACGAUGAGCAAGCA
rnacentral:ncRNA from 1 species